rnacentral:rRNA from 1 species
GACGAACCGAGCGAACGUUGUUCGGAAUCACUGGGCUUAAAGGGCGCGUAGGCGGGUGCUCAAGUCCGGGGUGAAAUCCUCCAGCUCAACUGGAGAACUGCCUCGGAUACUGGGUGUCUCGAGGGUGGUAGGGGUAUGCGGAACUAUCGGUGGAGCGGUGAAAUGCGUUGAUAUCGAUAGGAACUCCGGUGGCGAAGGCGGCAUACUGGACCACAUCUGACGCUGAGGCGCGAAAGCGUGGGGAGCAAACAGG